rnacentral:rRNA from 1 species
GGACCCGCACAAGUAGUGGAGCAUGUGGUUUAAUUCGAAGAUACGCGCAGAACCUUACCAACACUUGACAUGUUCGUCGCGACUUUAAGAGAUUAAAGUUUUCGGUUCGGCCGGACGAAACACAGGUGCUGCAUGGCUGUCGUCAGCUCGUGUCGUGAGAUGUUGGGUUAAGUCCCGCAACGAGCGCAACCCUCACUUUUAGUUGCCAUCAUUAAGUUGGGCACUCUGAAAGAACUGCCAGUGAUAAGCUGGAGGAAGGUGGGGAUGACGUCAAGUCCUCAUGGCCCUUACGUGUUGGGCUACACACGUGCUACAAUGGCAUUUACAAUAGGAAGCAAAACGGCGACGUUAAGCAAAUCCUAAAAAAUGCUCAGUUCGGAUUGUACUCUGCAACUCGAGUACAUGAAGCUGGAAUUACUAGUAAUCG